rnacentral:tRNA from 1 species
GGGGAUGUGGCUCAGUGUUAGGGUGCUCACCUAGUGUGUGUGAGGUGCUGGGUGCGAUCCUCAACAUCACAU